rnacentral:lncRNA from 1 species
AGACCCGCCCGGGACGCCGGCUGAUGGCGCCGGAGGCCGCCGGGGUGUAGAAGCCUUGCUUCCCCUGCUGGGUACCAGCGCCAUCCCAAUCCCCAGCCUGCUGUUGGAGCCCAUCCCAGGGGAAGGUUAACUGCUGCUCUGGCAGGCGAAUGGGGAAGCUGGUCCGGAUUGAGUUUUUAACACGUGCAGGACGUUUUGUCAUUGUGGAGUCGCAUCAGGCUCACCUUCACCCAGCGGAAAUCCAGCUCUACUUAUCCUGACUCAAACUCAGGCCAAACGAGGGCCUGGGCCUUGGUGCCACGCCGGCUGCGCCCUGCCAGGGGCAUAUGCCCCCCGGAACCUGGCUCAAGCCCCCUUGGUGGCUGAGUUUCCCCAGCCACACCCCCUGUCCUCCAUACUGGCCAGGGUCCCGGUCAGGCUCCUUGGUACCCAGUGAUCUCACAUGAGCCCCUGUAAGACAGGACAGAGGCAGAUCAAAGUUUGGGGGAACCUGAAUCUUACUCCAGUUUGAAGCCCUCUUAAAAAUAAUUCCAACUUUGUUCAGAAGUAUUUAUUUAAAACAGGAACAGAAAGAUGCUUAAGCUUUUAUUAUCAAGUUUAUCCACUUCCACCACUUCUACCAGAACCUUGGUGAGGCCUAGCCCAGCAUCCCUCCACCUCCACUUCAGUCUGGCCCUGAGGCAGGCAAGGCCCAGACAGCCCUGGUCACAGCUGGGGAGAAGGGGAGCGGCCUUGCAAGGCUCUCUCAGUCCUCAGCAACCCACGUAUCCCUCUGUACAAAUGAUGGCGUUCACCCUCCAGAAUGUCUGUGCCCUUGAGCCCACCACCCAUGGAAGAGUCUGUCUCUCAGGCCACCUCACCUCCUUCCUGGGUGGAAACAGUAAACGCUGGACUAUGGGUUUCUCCGCCUACCAUAGAGCCCUCCUUCCCCGCCAUGACUCACCCCACCCUCAGGAGUUUUUUCCACCCUGCUGCUGUCCUGUGGCCCCAGGACAAGCUAGGUCCUCAGACUGCCACCACUACCCCCAUCUAGCCCCUAAGGCUCAGGCCCCA